rnacentral:lncRNA from 1 species
CUCCAUACUACUACCACUCACCACCUCCUCCAGUGAAAUCACCACCCCCACCUUAUUAUUACUCAUCCCCACCACCACCAAAGUCUUACCCUCCACCAUACUACUACUCAUCUCCACCACCACCACCAAAGUCGUACUCGCCACCGUACUACUACUCAUCGCCACCACCUCCGAUGUCAUACCCUCAACCUCACCCACAGCCACAGCCACAUCCACAUCCACUUGUCUUCAAAGUUGUUGGUAAAGUGUAUUGUUACAGAUGUUAUGACUGGACUUAUCCCAAAAAGUCCCACGAUAAGAAGCAUCUCAAAGGUAACUAUGUCUUCCACGUGUUCAAUAAUUUAAUGUUUUAAUCUUAGCUAACUUAAUUACAGAAAAUAUGAUCCUGAUGAUUAUAGAAUGAUUAAAGGCUUAUAGGAUUUAAAUAAACUAGCAUAUAUGUAUUGUGAAGUGGUAGUUGCAAGUCUGGAUUAUUUAUUUAGUGGAGAAAAGAAAACGAUCAAGUCAAGAAAAAAAACAAAAAUCUGUUUUGACUAAAACAAUCGAGAGAGAUAGAACAAGCGAAAUCGAUUUAAAUGACAUAAAAUGAUAGUUUAAAUUUAAAUAAUUUGUUUUGUCAUAUAGGUGCUGUGGUAGAAGUGACGUGCAAGGCCGGUGACAAGACAGUGAAGGCAUACGGGAAGACCAAAAUCAACGGUAAAUACGCAAUAACCGUUAAGGGAUACAACUACCGUAAAUACGGUGGCGAAGUCUGCACGGCCAAACUCCACUCGCCACCUAAGGGAUCGCCGUGUAACAUUCCUACAAGUUACCAUUUGGGUAACAAAGGUGCUAAACUCCAUGUGAAAUCAAAGACAAAGUACGAGGUUGUGCUCUAUGCUAAGUCCUUUGCUUAUGCACCUAAGAAACCUUACGGAGAAUGCCACAAGCCGGCUCCUUACCAUCCUCCUUACUACUACAAGUCUCCACCACCACCUUCUCCGGUUUACUACUACAAGUCUCCACCACCACCAACUCCAACUUAUGUCUAUAAAUCACCGCCUCCACCAACCCCAGCGUAUGUCUACAAAUCGCCUCCUCCUCCUACCCCAACAUACGUCUAUAAAUCUCCUCCACCACCAACUCCGACUUACGUCUACAAAUCACCACCACCGCCUACUCCAACGUAUGUGUAUAAGUCUCCGCCUCCACCAACCCCUACGUAUGUCUACAAGUCGCCCCCACCACCAACUCCAACCUAUGUUUACAAAUCACCGCCUCCUCCUACUCCGACCUACGUCUACAAGUCGCCGCCUCCUCCUACCCCAACUUAUGUUUACAAGUCGCCACCACCUCCAACACACACUCCUACACCAUACUACUACCAUUCUCCACCACCACCAGUUAAAUCUCCUCCACCUCCAUAUUAUUACCAUUCGCCACCACCACCCGUAAAAUCUCCACCACCGCCAUAUUAUUAUCAUUCACCACCCCCUCCGGUGAAAUCUCCUCCUCCUCCUUACUACUACCACUCUCCACCCCCUCCGGUGAAGUCUCCUCCUCCACCUUACUACUACCAGUCACCACCCCCUCCCGUAAAGUCACCACCACCACCAUAUUAUUACCAUUCACCACCUCCUCCGGUCAAAUCUCCUCCUCCACCCUACUAUUACCAUUCACCUCCUCCACCGAUGAAAUCUCCACCACCACCAUACUACUACCACUCACCACCUCCUCCAGUCAAAUCUCCUCCUCCACCGUACUAUUACCAUUCACCUCCUCCACCGGUGAAAUCUCCACCACCACCAUACUACUACCAUUCACCACCUCCUCCUGUCAAAUUUCCUCCACCAUACUAUUACCACUCACCACCCCCACCGGUCAAAUCCCCUCCACCACCUUACUAUUACCAUUCACCACCCCCACCGGUCAAAUCUCCUCCUCCACCAUACUACUACCACUCACCACCUCCUCCGGUGAAGUCUCCGCCACCGCCAUACCAUUACAACUCUCCACCACCAGUAAAAUCUCCCCCACCUCCAGUAUACAUCUACGCCUCUCCUCCACCUCCUACCCAUUACUAGGCUCAUCAAAUUCAGCCACAUUCCCCCAUUAUUCAAGUAAAGACCCAACGCUUCAACAUUUUCAAUAUGCUCCAUAUCCAUAUCGAUAGAACUUUGUCUCAUUAUCUCAAUUUCUUCUUCG